rnacentral:rRNA from 1 species
ACGGGUGAGUAACACGUGGGAAUUUGCCCUAUGGUACGGAAUAACACAGAGAAAUUUGUGCUAAUACCGUAUGUGUCCUUCGGGAGAAAGAUUUAUCGCCAUAGGAUAAGCCCGCGUCCGAUUAGCUAGUUGGUGAGGUAAUGGCUCACCAAGGCGACGAUCGGUAGCUGGUCUGAGAGGAUGAUCAGCCACACUGGGACUGAGACACGGCCCAGACUCCUACGGGAGGCAGCAGUGGGGAAUAUUGGACAAUGGGCGCAAGCCUGAUCCAGCCAUGCCGCGUGAGUGAUGAAGGCCUUAGGGUUGUAAAGCUCUUUCGCCUGCGAGGAUAAUGACGGUAGCAGGAUAAGAAGCCCCGGCUAACUUCGUGCCAGCAGCCGCGGUAAUACGAAGGGGGCUAGCGUUGUUCGGAAUCACUGGGCGUAAAGCGCACGUAGGCGGACUUUUAAGUCAGAGGUGAAAUCCUGGAGCUCAACUUCAGAACUGCCUUUGAUACUGGAAGUCUUGAGUCCGGUAGAGGUGAGUGGAACUGCUAGU